GAUCCUGGCUCAGGACGAACGCUGGCGGCGUGCUUAACACAUGCAAGUCGAACGGGAAGAAAAAGAAGAGCUUGCUCUUUUUUUGGAUUCUAGUGGCAAACGGGUGAGUAACACGUAAACAACCUGCCUUCAGGAUGGGGACAACAGACGGAAACGACUGCUAAUACCGAAUACCUUCCAAUUUCCGCAUGGAGAUAGGAAGAAAGGGUGGCCUCUACUUGUAAGCUAUCGCCUGAAGAGGGGUUUGCGUCUGAUUAG
rnacentral:rRNA from 1 species